UUAAACUUCAAAUUUGUUCACACACUAAUUGACCCAAAUAAUUUGUUAGUAACUAACUGCACCUCAGCCUAUAAUCCCGUACAUGAAAUUGUCCAAUCGGGGUUCCUCCGUGUUCGCCUCAAGGAGUUUUCAGAUCUCUGGUUGCUGUGCCGCCGCCAAACCCUAAAGCUUUGAAUUGGUUCUGUUCUCUGCCGGAGUCAGAUGGAGUGUUUCCUCGGUUUUUUCUAUCCAAGGAGCCAGAGGAUGCGUCACGCAUACCACUCUAUUUGCAUACAACUCUUGGAGUUUUUUGGGAUUGGAGCGGCGAUUUGCUUUGAACAUUCCUCUUCUUGUGCAAUUCAUUAGUUGGAUCCAUCCGUUCAAAAUAUGGAGAUGUUUUUAUUCCUCUUUCAGGAAUAAUAUUCUUAUCAUGUAAGAUUAGAGGUAUUGAUGAAAAAUCAACUAGAUUUAUUUCUUAAAACAAAUUGCAAAUAACUUGGUGGAAUGUACUCUCAUACCUGGCAGUUGGGACGGUGGAAAAAAAAUGGUUCCGCUCAUUGUAUGGGCCGAUAUAUCCGUUAGCGGGCUCGGGCCUUGUAAGGCCUCUAUUCCCUUGCCCCAAUUUACUUGUAUUGUCAAGUGUCAAAAAUGAAAUGAAAUGUACCGUAUAAUCAAUUGGUGUGUGUGUGUGUGU